CUGUGUUUGUGCUAUUACUAACAGAUUAAUAUUAGCUGCUAGAUAAUAUUUUAUAUUCGGUAGGCUCAUGCCUCCAUUAGAAACGUGGCGAUAUAGGGUAGAUGCAGAGACUCUAGGUCUUUUUUCAGCUCAAAUAAAUUUGUUGAUUAACCUUUGAUAUUCUACAAAAUACUGAGUUGGGAUUUUAAUCGGGAGAGUUCUGAACAGAUAUUGAUAUUUAGGAAUAGCUAUCAUCUUAACAGCGGC